CUCCGUAGGUGAACCUGCGGAGGGAUCAUUACACAAAUAUGAAGGCGGGCUGGAACCUCUCGGGGUUACAGCCUUGCUGAAUUAUUCACCCUUGUCUUUUGCGUACUUCUUGUUUCCUUGGUGGGUUCGCCCACCACUAGGACAAACAUAAACCUUUUGUAAUUGCAAUCAGCGUCAGUAACAAAUUAAUAAUUACAACUUUCAACAACGGAUCUCUUGGUUCCGGCAUCGAUGAAGAACGCAGCGAAAUGCGAUAAGUAGUGUGAAUUGCAGAAUUCAGUGAAUCAUCGAAUCUUUGAACGCACAUUGCGCCCUUUGGUAUUCCAAAGGGCAUGCCUGUUCGAGCGUCAUUUGUACCCUCAAGCUUUGCUUGGUGUUGGGCGUCUUGUCUCUAGCUUUGCUGGAGACUCGCCUUAAAGUAAUUGGCAGCCGGCCUACUGGUUUCGGAGCGCAGCACAAGUCGCACUCUCUAUCAGCAAAGGUCUAGCAUCCAUUAAGCCUUUUUUUCAACUUUUGACCUCGGUUCAGGUAGGGAUACCCGCUGAACUUA
rnacentral:rRNA from 1 species